rnacentral:lncRNA from 1 species
UGAGACCUGGUUCACCUGCCAGCUCCACAUCCACAAUGGAUGAGGACCAGAGGAUGGAGGCUGGACUUGUGUGGGUGUCACCAGGAACGUCACCUAACAGUGUUGUGAUACUGGAUGCGUUCCUGGAGGACGAGGUGCAGUUUGGCGAUGUGGCGGUGACACCAGGAACGUCACCUACCAAUUUGAAGGACCAAACUGUGGUUUUCAUGGACCAGGUACGUUAACAUUAUUUAAAUGGGUGUAUUCAGACAAAACAUUUUUUCAUGUUUAGCAUUAGAUCAAGUCU